rnacentral:rRNA from 1 species
UAAUACGGAGGGUCCGAGCGUUAUCCGGAAUCAUUGGGUUUAAAGGGUCCGCAGGCGGUCUUUUAAGUCAGAGGUGAAAGCCUACAGCUCAACUGUAGAACGGCCUUUGAUACUGAAAGACUUGAGUUAUUAUGAAGUGGUUAGAAUGUGUGGUGUAGCGGUGAAAUGCAUAGAUAUCACACAGAAUACCGAUUGCGAAGGCAGAUCACUAAUAAUAUACUGACGCUCAUGGACGAAAGCGUGGGGAGCGAACAGGAUUAGAUACCCUGGUAGUCCACGCCGUAAACGAUGGAUACUAGCUGUUCGUCUAACAUUGGUUAGAUGAGUGGCUAAGCGAAAGUGAUAAGUAUCCCACCUGGGGAGUACGGUCGCAAGACUG